AGGAGAGCAAGAACUUUAUACAGUAUAAAAUAUAUCAAACCACAUUUUACUUUUCACAUACAAAAGAGAAAAAAAAUAUGGUUAAAAUUCUCAAGUUUGUGUAUUAUAUAAUACUAUUUUUUUUCGUAUUUAUUGUUGCGACGGAAGGACUUAAUUCACCUAUGGUAUGUGAAACAGAUGCCGAUUGUCCAAAAUCUUCAGACUACUAUUAUGAGAUAAUGUGCAUUCUUCACAAAUGUGAAUGGGUUUCAAAACUAAACCCAUUAUGGUAAAAUAUUCCAUGAGUUGUCAUUUAGUUA